rnacentral:rRNA from 1 species
AUGUGUGUGUAUGGCCCGUACCCUAAACCGACACAGGUAGUCAGGUUGAAAAUACUAAGGCGUUCGGGUGAACUGUGGUUAAGGAAUUCGGCAAAAUGCCCCCGUAACUUCGGGAGAAGGGGGGCCUCACGACGUGAAGGCCCAAGCGGCUGGAAGCGUUGUGGGGUCGCAGAGAAUAGAGGGAAGCGACUGUUUAUCAAAAACACAGGUCCAUGCGAAGACGUUAAGUUGAUGUAUAUGGACUGACGCCUGCCCGGUGCUGGAAGGUUAAGAGGACCGGUUAGUAGUCUUUGACUGCGAAGCUGAGAAUUUAAGCCCCAGUAAACGGCGGUGG